rnacentral:misc_RNA from 1 species
GAUGAAGAACGUAGCGAAAUGCGAUAAGUAAUGUGAACUGCAGAAUUCAGUGAAUCAUCGAAUCUUUGAACGCACAUUGCGCCCGCCAGUAUUCUGGCGGGCAUGCCUGUUCGAGCGUCAUUUCAACCAUCAAGCCCCAGGCUUGUGUUGGGGACCUGCGGCUGCCGCAGGCCCUGAAAACCAGUGGCGGGCUCGCUGUCACACCGGGCGUAGUAGAUUUUAUCUCGCUCAGGGCGUGCUGCGGGUUCCGGCCGUUAAAAAGCCUUUUUUACCCAAGGUUGACCUCGGAUCAGGUAGGAAGACCCGCUGAACUUAAGCAUAUCAAUAAGCGGAGGA